UCCCCCGUAAUGCAAUUGGACGAACAGGUGUCUGUCAGUAACAGUUGACCAAUCAGGAAAGACUAAAGUUUGAGGGGGCGGGACCUUGAUCAAGUCCGAUAGGGAAAGAGCGAUACGUGAAGAAACGGAAAGGAAGAAUGGCGGCGCUUCGUUAAAGAUUUUUCUAGUGUUUAGUAAUAUAAUCUGCCUGCUGGAUACAGCAGGCAGAUUAUAUGAGAUGAGACACAGUGAGACAAAAACCUGCAGCUUCAGUCCAAGUUCUUCUGUGUUCCAGCCACAUGUUGAAUCCUCAUAAACGUCACAAUUGUUGCAAACUCCACCAGUAGGCAAGAAUGUUCGUAAAAUCUCCGGAAAAGCUGGAUGACAGUUUAUCUGCCCUUCAGGAACGUCGGACAUCCGCUCCAACUUGAAGUCUUUGUCUUCCACAGCAUCACUCCUACGACUGCAGCUGUGGAGAACCAGACAGGAGGUCAUGAACAAGACUCUGUUGGACGACUUUGAGCCAGCGUGGAAACAAACACCUCAUCUAUAAACCAAACAAGACGAAGGAGAUCAUUGAGGAAUAAGCCGAAGAGUAAGUCCUGUGAGGCAAGGUGGAGAUGACUGGAAGAUUUGUGUUUCAUGAAAAUAAACCUCUGAAGCUUUAUGAA